rnacentral:rRNA from 1 species
UACGUAGGGGGCUAGCGUUGUCCGGAAUCAUUGGGCGUAAAGAGCGUGUAGGCGGUCCGGUAAGUCCGCUGUGAAAGUCGGGGGCUCAACCCUCGAAUGCCGGUGGAUACUGUCGGGCUAGAGUGCGGAAGAGGCGAGUGGAAUUCCUGGUGUAGCGGUGAAAUGCGUAGAGAUCAUGAGGAAGACCAGUGGCGAAGGCGGGUCUCUGGACAGUUCCUGACACUGAGACACGAAGGCCAGGGGAGCAAACGGG